UGGGGAAUCUUGCACAAUGGGCGAAAGCCUGAUGCAGCAACGCCGCGUGCGGGAAGAAGGCCCUCGGGUCGUAAACCGCUUUCAGAAGGAACGAAACUGACGGUACUUUCAGAAGAAGGUGCGGCCAACUACGUGCCAGCAGCCGCGGUGACACGUAGGCACCAAGCGUUGUCCGGAUUUAUUGGGCGUAAAGAGCUCGUAGGCGGUUCAGUAAGUCGGGUGUGAAAACUUUGGGCUUAACCCAAAGCGUGCAUCCGAUACUGCUGUGACUUGAGUACGGUAGGGGAGCGGGGAAUUCCUAGUGUAGCGGUGAAAUGCGCAGAUAUUAGGAGGAACACCGGUGGCGAAGGCGCCGCUCUGGGCCGAAACUGACGCUGAGGAGCGAAAGCAUGGGUAGCAAACAGGAUUAGAUACCCACGUAGUCCCUGAGCGGGCUGGCAAGGCGCAU
rnacentral:rRNA from 1 species